ensembl:snRNA U6 U6 spliceosomal RNA
GUGCUUGCUUCAGCAGCGCAUAUACUAAAAUUGGAAAGAUACAGAGAAGAUUAGCAUGGCCCCUGCCAAGGAUGACACGCAAAUUCGUGAAGUGUUCCAUAUUUUA